UCCCAAUAACUUCACAUUUAACUCCUGACUGCAUUCUAAUUCUCCCAGAAACCUCGUCUUUGCAGACAUCCUGUUUAAAGUGGGACCUGGAGAGGCAUCCGUUCCCAGGCUUCACUCUCUGUCUACCUCCCUGCUCGGUUUUCCCCGUCAAACUGCCUGCCUUUCUCUCUGCUGCAGCCCUAGGCCAGCACUUACCGCUUAGUGCCUCCAUUUCUACCUGCUAAAUGAAUACAUGAUGGAUAAGCAGGGUUUUUGUUGUUGUUUGUCUGUUUAAGAAAAGAGGAAAGUAGUUUAAAGGCAGAAUUGUUCCACAACAAAGUAUCUAUAAACUCCACUUUGCAAAAUCCAACAGAAGAAACCACAUUUUCUUACUGCUUUUAUUGUAACUGGACAUUCCCAGAAUUGCUCAGUCUGCAUCUCUUUAAAAAACUACAUCAUUUUCUUGGCCCAGGGCACUUCGUCUAAGCAGUUGGAAAAAGGAUUACCCUGUUAGGCCAGUGGUUUAAAUGCAGGCAGAAUAAACAUUGUACUUGGCAUGUGAGUGGCUAGUUUAAACUGACUUUAAACUUUUUAACUUCUUCCUCAGUCCUGCUUCCUGAAGAGGAAUGAGGCAAGCGACGGUCUUCAAGCGAACUUGCUGAGUGAAUUCUCCGCGCCAGGCACCGGGCAGGAAAGGGAGCCCGAGGACACCGCGCGGCCGCAGCAAACAUCGCCCCCCGGUGUUCAAACCAGAGCAUCACCAUUGUCUCAGAUAAACACCUAAUCCCACAAGCGGAGGGUUUUAGAGCCCCGUCGAGGUCUACUCCGUUGAAAAAGGAAGGAGGAAAGAUUUAGUUGGUAGUCAUCGCAGCUGCCGAAGUCAAGUUUCCCUCCGAAGGUUUUACUGACGUCGGGCUGGGUCCACUUCUCAGAUAUAAAACUGCAUGAACGGCUUCUUGCCAAAAUGGGCAGAACUAAACAAAAACAACACUAGCAAGCGCCCCCCGCCCCCCAUCAUUAACAGUCGGAGGAUGGGUUCUCGCAGACGCUCACUUGAGGAAAGCUCUCCCUGCGCCGGGCCCAGCCGCCACACUCG